UUGUUUUACUUUUGAAAAAUCCAUUGCCGCCGUCGUCUUCACACCGCCAUCAUCCUUGCAUUUUGAAGCUCCAACCUAAAGACGCCGCCGAACAAGUCUUCGUCAAAGGGACUUGGUUCCACUCCCAUUUCGACCUCUUAAUAACUGAUGGCCUUCACGCUUGGAUCUGCCAAGGCAUACGUCAUGGGGUGGAAGAUUACCUCAUAGACCUGUUGAGGUUCUAGCAUUUGCAGUUUCACGCUUUUUCCAGCAUGGAAGGAGCUUUCAAAAUUACUAUAUGGUCUACUUAGUGAGCCUAAAUGGGGCAUCUGAAAGAUCUACAUGCUUCUAUAAAGCUUUGUGAACCUACACUAGUUGCAGUUGAUUCACUCUAGUAUAUUAAAUUGGGACCAAAGUAGGAGAUUGUCUCUAUUGUUCUUGGGUCAAUAGGACUUUCAAAUGUUAGAAAUGGCAAUGAAGCGUUUGAUUUCAGGGCAAGUUCAGAAGCUAAUUACUAUAGCUUGCGUUGCUGAUAUUAUGUGUGAAAUGUAAUGUUCGCCAGACCUCUCUCUCUCUCUCUCUCUCUCUCAAGUCAACACUAACACAGAUCCAUAUAGAGGAACAUGGCUCUCAAAGGCCUGAAAGAAUAGUAGAUGCUACUGGAAUGUUUGACACAGCAUAGCUACGACUUGAACAUGCUGGCAUGAGGGUUCCAUCAGAUAGAUUACAUGGUGCCUUUGGCCAUUCAGCUGCAUUUUCUUUGGGGUUUUUGCCUUCUAAUGUAAUUCCAAAUUCUUUGACGACUUUAUCCCAAUAUUUGAGAUGUAUAAGAAGUGAAUUUGAUGCCAUGGGUUAGAUUUCAACAUUACAAGAUUUUAUGGAGUUUUUUUAUGUUAUAUUGCCAUUGAGUUUCACACAAUAUGACAUCGCAUUCUUCAGGAGGAAGUAUGCUCAUGAGGCUUACAACAAAGAACUAAGUAUAUGAUUUGGGUGGUGAUGCAUUUUUCUUUACUAUUGUCAUGUUUAUAUAUGCAUAUUUUUUAUUAUAUUAACCUUUUAAUUGUAAAGAUAAUGGUGGCUUAUAAUGUUCAUUUUACAAAGAUAACGAUGUGGUAUUGA